CAGUGGCGGACGGGUGAGUACAAAGUUGGAACCUACCUCAUACUCGGGGAUAACCACUUGAAAAGGUGGCUAAUACCGGAUAGUCCCGAAAGGGUAAAGAUUUAUCGGUAUGAGAGGGGCCUACUUACUAUCAGCUUGUUGGUGGGGUAAAAGCCUACCAAGGCUACGACGGUUAGCUGGUUUGAGAGGAUGAUCAGCCACACUGGGACUGAGACACGGCCCAGACUCC
rnacentral:rRNA from 1 species